rnacentral:rRNA from 1 species
GAUGAACGCUGGCGGCGUGCCUAAUACAUGCAAGUCGAGCGAAUGGAUUAAGAGCUUGCUCUUAUGAAGUUAGCGGCGGACGGGUGAGUAACACGUGAGUAACCUGCCCAUAAGACUGGGAUAACUCCGGUAAACCGGGGCUAAUACCGGAUAACAUUUUUAACCGCAUGGUUCGAAAUUGAAAGGCGGCUUCGGCUGUCACCUAUGGAUGGACCCGGGUCGCAUUAGCUAGUUGGUGAGGUAACGGCUAACCAAGGCAACGAUGCGUAGCCGACCUGAGAGGGUGAUCGGCCACGCUGGGACUGAGACACGGCCCAGACUCCUACGGGAGGCAGCAGUAGGGAAUCUUCCGCAAUGGACGAAAGUCUGACGGAGCAACGCCGCGUGAGUGAUGAAGGCUUUCGGGUCGUAAAACUCUGUUGUUAGGGAAGAACAAGUGCUAGUUGAAUAAGCUGGCACCUUGACGGUACUUAACCAGAAAGCCACGGCUAACUACGCGCCAGCCGCCGCGGUAA